rnacentral:lncRNA from 1 species
GGAAAAGACCCGCAAAAAAGAGGGAGGAAACCGGCCAGCACAGCGGCCUUCGCGGCGCGGGCGAAACGUGGAGACGAACGCGCGCAGCUGUAGAGACACCGGAGAGGACGAGAGGAAGAGAGGGCCGAGAGUUUUUUGUUUAAAAGCGAGAAAAGUGCCGAUCGGGCGUCGCGCAGUUCCGCAGUUUUCUCGCCUGUCUGCGUCGUCUUUCUACGAGAAGCAUCGACAGGAGACACCUGAGCGAACCGGCAAGGUCAGUUUUUGCGGGGGCGGCGCAGUUGCGACAAGGCGCUCUCCGCUCUCAGUUCUGCCCGAAAAAGUUCUUUUCUUUGCCACGCGUGCGCUCAGGCAAGGGCCACGGCGUUCUUCUCUCGAGUUUUUGCAAACCUGCCUUCCCCCGCAGCCAGAAGUUCCUUUUCCCUCUCUGGGCCUCUGGACUGCAAGCGCGGCGGCGCUCUCCAGUUUGAUUUGUUUUGUGCGAACUCGCGAGAAAUACCUAAGGCAUAACAAGCGUGAGUUCGCGAAUCCGUGUAGGUCUUUUUUUCGGGGGGCUGCCUCCAAAUUCUCUGCGAGAACGGAGAGAAUCCGCUCGUCCAACCCGGUCUCUCUUUGUGCGCGCACCUCAAAGGCCAAGUUUUGUCGGCUGGCCCGGAGCUGGACUCGCGAAAAAGAGAGGAUUCGUUCCGACGAGGAACGCGCGAGAGCGUCGUUGUUUCCUAGUCUCUUACUCCCCCUGGGAGCCUUGGGGAACAAGAGAAGCGUAGAGCCCCCGAGAAAACCUCGCUUCCCAUAUAGAAAUAGAUUUUGUGCAUGUACAUAGUCGCGUACGCUCGCAAUGCAUGAGAAGGAAAGAGAACGCCGAAGACUCUUCUUCACGUCGCCCUCCCGCCAAGGCUCUGUGGGAUGUGACGAGGCCUGUCCGGGCUGUACAGAAACCGGACGAAUGUGAGGUGCGUGUUUCGGUCUUAUUUUAACGGCUAGAGACACAGCCCCCCCC